rnacentral:rRNA from 1 species
AUAUGGCUCAGGAUGAACGCUGGCGGCGUGCUUAACACAUGCAAGUCGAACGAAGCACUUAUCUUUGAUUCUUCGGAUGAAGAGGUUUGUGACUGAGUGGCGGACGGGUGAGUAACGCGUGAGGAACCUGCCUCGAAGAGGGGGACAACAGUUGGAAACGACUGCUAAUACCGCAUAAGCCCACGGGUCGGCAUCGACCAGAGGGAAAAGGAGCAAUCCGCUUUGAGAUGGCCUCGCGUCCG